GAAAUGCGAUAAGUAGUGUGAAUUGCAGAAUUCAGUGAAUCAUCGAAUCUUUGAACGCACAUUGCGCCCCUUGGUAUUCCAUGGGGCAUGCCUGUUCGAGCGUCAUUUGUACCCUCAAGCUCUGCUUGGUGUUGGGUGUUUGUCCCCGUCUCCGCGCGUGGACUCGCCCCAAAGUGAUUGGCAGCCGGCGUACUGGUCCCGGAGCGCAGCACACGUCGCGCAAACGAGUGCCUUGGUACGGCGGCGUCCAUAAGCCCCUCUCUCACGCUCUUGACCUCGGAUCAGGUAGGGAUACCCGCUGAACUUAAGC
rnacentral:misc_RNA from 1 species